GAUGAACGCUGGCGGCGUGCCUAAUACAUGCAAGUCGAGCGAACAGACGAGGAGCUUGCUCCUCUGACGUUAGCGGCGGACGGGUGAGUAACACGUGGAUAACCUACCUAUAAGACUGGGAUAACUUCGGGAAACCGGAGCUAAUACCGGAUAAUAUAUUGAACCGCAUGGUUCAAUAGUGAAAGACGGCUUUGCUGUCACUUAUAGAUGGAUCCGCGCCGCAUUAGCUAGUUGGUAAGGUAACGGCUUACCAAGGCAACGAUGCGUAGCCGACCUGAGAGGGUGAUCGGCCACACUGGAACUGAGGCACGGUCCAGACUCCUACGGGAGGCAGCAGUAGGGAAUCAUCCGCAAUGGGCGAAAGCCUGACGGAGCAACGCCGCGUUAGUGAUGAAGGUCUUCGGAUCGUAAAACUCUGUUAUUAGGGAAGAACAAAUGUGUAAGUAACUAUGCACGUCUUGACGGUACCUAAUCAGAAAGCCACGGCUAACUACGUG
rnacentral:rRNA from 1 species